AUGGACCAGGACGGAAGCAGUGAAAAGAAUGAAAGACGGACUGUGCAUCUCGUUUGUCCGAUGGAGUGAUCCAGCCUAUAUCCAGAGAAUCAAAAAUGUAACAGAUAUUUCAACGGCGAUUGUCCGAUCAAUGAGAAUUAGGUCGGACCAAAUGAGAACAACCAGAAGACUACAGCCCUAACUGCUAUAGAGACUGAGGGAUGGGUCAGAAGUAUCGUGGGCUGGCAGACCAAUAGUGUGUUGCACCAGGCAUAAUGUCUUUGACAACAUCUGAUUCAAUCAAUAACACAGCAUGUAUGCACUGUUGUAUGUAAUGAUCAAUAUUUUUAUCCUACAAAUAAAUGGAGACAUCUCUGUGUCUUUCUGUAUGUCUAUCAUUCGAUUUUCUCGACAACUGCUCAUCCAAUCGACUUCAAACUUCACGUGUGUAUUGCUGAGGACCCAGGGAAGUGCAAUGUCGACUGUGAAGGUUUUUGGAUCAACAGUUCUCAAGAAACAUAAGAAGAGAAACAUUAAAGGACAUUCGAUUAGAGCUGGGGCCACUCAUCCACGCAGCCGACGUCAUCGAUUACACAACGGCAUGUCUGCGCCCGGUCAUAGCAGGGAU